rnacentral:rRNA from 1 species
GACGAACCGAGCGAACGUUGUUCGGAAUCACUGGGCUUAAAGGGCGCGUAGGCGGGUUCGCAAGUCUGUGGUGAAAUCCUCCGGCUCAACCGGAGAACUGCCUUGGAUACUGCGGGUCUCGAGGGUGAUAGGGGUAUGCGGAACUAUCGGUGGAGCGGUGAAAUGCGUUGAUAUCGAUAGGAACUCCGGUGGCGAAGGCGGCAUACUGGAUCACUUCUGACGCUGAGGCGCGAAAGCCAGGGGAGCAAACGGG